GAUGAUAACAAUGAUACAUACCCGCCUUAUAGGUUGUUUUGAGGGUUAACUGAGAUUACGCAUCUAAAAUACUUAGCAUAGUGCUGGACCCACAGCAAAUACUUGAUUCUUAUAAUAAUUAUUAUUAGGAUUCCAUUGCUCUGGUUAUUAUUUGCCAAGAGAAGAAACAACUUUGGCUGAUUCAGACAAACUAUUGGCCAAUUCAGUUCAGCCCCAAGGUUCUAACCAAGGAGUCUUGGAAGACACAGCCCUGAACCACUUCGUGCCAGGCGUGUGGCUAUCUCAAAUGGGCGCACACAGAGCCAGGUUUAUAAAACCCCUACGGGGCGCCUUCUCCCGAUACCUGCCGCAUCCGUUUCCAUCCAGCUUUGACUUCUCAGGCUGGUCCCAUCACCCAAGUCCACUCAUAUCCUGGUUUUCCCUGACCAUGCCUUUCUUUCUAUGCCGCUGUCUUCAUAGACUCACUGACUCUCAGCCCUCAGUGGGAUCUUAAAAGUCUUCUAACCCAGCCCUGUGGCUGCCGGGGAUGGAGUGGUGAGCAGGGCUGCUCAGCCAGCGGGUCUGAGACAGAGGACGGCAGGACCUGGGCCAGGAGGGCACUGUGCGCAGCUCCUGACCCUCAGGCCGUGUGGCCUGAUGUCCUUCAGCAGCACGGCCACUGUUCCCUCCCCUGUGACACAAGUAGAUGGCCUCCAGCCCCCUUCCCUGUAAGGGCGACCCAAGUAGACACAAGUAGAUGCUUGCAGUUGAUGGCCUUCAGCCCCCUUCCCCGUAAGAGCAAGUGUCCCCAGGCGGGGACCCGCGUUAGCACUUCCAGGGACACUGGGAGCCCCCUGCACGGGGGUCGGGCCUGAACUUGCUGAAAGUCUCAAUAACCCCACAACUGGUGCUUCCUCGGAGUCGAGGCUGGGCAAUGACCAGUGAAAGGACAGAGGUUGAGAGCAGGAGAGGUGGGAAACAGGCUGUUGUACCUCCAACGGUAUCCACGGCUUGGAGGCUCCCACUACCCAGCAGUGUUUUAAAGGCUCUGGCAGGUCCUUGCGAUAAAAGACGCCCAUCUACCUCGGGUUAUUCCAGUGUGCUCCAGACCUAUCUGACCAUAACUCAGCUUUUGCCUAUCACCCAUUUCCUUUUCAGGAGACUCUUGGAAAAGGCGGUCUUGGAUCUUUCUGCUUUUCAGCUGGGCUGGAUAAGUAAGAGCAUGUGGGGUCGAGAUGCUAGGCUUUCAGUGCCAUGAGGCCUGAAAGUGGGCCUCCUUUCCCCCAUCCCUGAAGUCUCAGCUGAGAUCUGGCACCCUUCCUGGGGCUGAGCUGAGACCCCUGGGCUUGUACAGAGUCUCACUCACUGGGUGUAAGUGCUGCCUGCCACCCAUUAGGCAGCGUCUCCUCUCCCAGAGCUCAACACACAGUGAGUCUAGUCAUGCCCACCCCCCCCCAAUAACCCACAUCAGGGUCCGGAUGGGCAGCAGUUCAUGGGAAAAGAGGCCCAGCUUUUUGGCGUGUCCGCCCCAAAGAGACGAUCAAAUCUUGGGUGGGAACCUACCAAGUUCUGUCCUCAGAGCUGCCCAGAUCUCAUCUGGAGGGUUGGGUCCAUUCUGUUUUUAAGGGAGAUGUUGUUCACAUUGCAAAGGGGACACCAAGAGAGGGAAGGGUCUGGAAAUUCCGUUGGAAAAGGAGAGGCUGACGGAACGGUGAUAUUUAGCCUGGCAAGAGGCGAGUGGGGGCGGGGGUUGGGGGAGCUGGGAUGGCUGUUCUCAGACAUUUGAAAAGCCCUCAGCGGGCAGGCCCUGUUCACUCCAAGGGCUAAGGCAGACUGGGUUCAGUAAAGAGACCACUGUGACCCUGACACCGAGAGUAACAAUCGGGUGAACUUCAGGGUGAGUAGGGUGCUCCUUGUUCCUGGAAGCAUUUAGCCAGGAAGAGGUAGCACCUGCCUGGUGGUGCAGAGAGUGCCCAUGGCUAUGAGGUGAGGUCAGUGAGCUGGGCUCUAAGGUGCCGCCCACCCCCUCGCCCAGUCUGUGGCUGUUGGACGGGUACCGCUCCCCCCACUGUCCUCAUGCAAUGUCCCUGCUUCCCUUUGCAACCCCACACACAACUCCACCCCCGUGCAACUUUGUCUCCCAGCUCAGCGUGGCUAGAGGAGUUUCCUGGUGUCUUCCUCGACCCCUAGGCUUCGAGGGCCAUCGCCAUCGUCUGUGCUGGUGGCUCUGUUCCUGUGUUGGGGGGAGCGUUGUCCCACAGAGUGGGUAUGAAGGGGACUCAGGUGGCACCAAGUGGACCAGCAGGUCAGGCCUGUGGUGACAAGGCCCCAUUUCUCAGGAAGAGGACUUUCCUCGCCCAGGCCUCCAUCUCCCCUUCACCACGGACAAUAGUCUCUUCGGGGUGGUGGCCUCUCUAAGGACCCUGUGUGUGCAGAGUGCUGCACACACACAGAAAUCACACAUUGUCUGAUAUCUCCGAGGCAAGGGACGGUGGUGGGAAGAGGCUGGGCCAGAAUCCAGAAGGCCUGGUUCCUGGCCCCGCUCAGCUUCCACAGUGUGACCUGGGGCCAGUCCCUGGGACGGACCUGGGUUUGCAGGACCUGAAGCUUAGACCAUUUGGAGGGAGCUCGUUACGGAAAACACCACACAACUGUGAAUACAAAAUUAGGUGCAAAUGUGAUUAUUUAGAAUGCUGAAAUUGCCACAAAUGACAAAUUCAGGAAAAAAUUGAAAUACCGCAGACAUCACAUGAUCUGUCUGACACACCUCUGUAAUGCCUUUUCAUUAUUAUUAAUUUUUUUUUUUAACAUUUCUUCUCAGGAGUUCCCGUCGUGGCUCAGUGGUUAAUGAAUCCGACUAGGAACCAUGAGGUUGCGGGUUCCAUCCCUGGCCUUGCUCGGUGGGUUAAGGAUCCAGCGUUGCUGUGAGCUGUAGUGUAGGUCACAGACCCAGCUCGGAUCCCCUGUUGCUGUGGCUGUGGGGUAGGCCAGCAGCUACAGCUCCAAUUAGACCCUAGCCUGGGAACCUCCAUAUGCCGUGGGUGGGGCCCUAGAAAAGACAAAAAACAAACAAACAAAUAAAAUAACAUUUCUUCUCAUAAUUUUACAGGCUAGAUUCUGGCUCCACACAUUCUCCAGCCCGAUUUCUCUUCCACACCCACCCACCCACACACACCCACACAUCUCUAGUGCAGGAACCUCAGGCCAUAACUGUGCUGUGAUACAACUUCUGGCCCUGUAACUUCGUGUCCCAAAGCCAAGGACUUGGCCCAAUGGUGGUCAUAUGCCUGUAGCCGUUUCCUCACGGGGGUGUGGCUACAUCGUAGUGCCAACUGUUCGGUGCACAGCACACAUGUCUCACCAAUCCCAGACUGAAUGGAGCCAUCACUCACUGGCUUUGAGGGACCCUUGGAUCCCCAAAUGGACACUAGAGAAGUCAUCAUUGAUUGCCGAUUAGCCAUAGUGUUCUACCAAAAUUACCCAUAUCAUCUGACCAUGUGAACACAGGAUGGGGGCCCUCCAGGGCCCUGGAGCUUAAGUGGUAUUAGUUUCAUGGUAGAUCCGCUUCUGGGUGCAUCUGAAACCUCUGAGUUUCAGUUUCUUCAGCUGUGCCAUGAACAAAACUCUUCUGGCCCCAUCUGUCUGUUUUGGAUGAGAAUCUGAAAUGAAAGAAAAUGUGAAGGCUCUGGUUCCUAAAAGUCCCGUGUGAUGGUGACACUGAGGAAGAGGACAGUGAUGCUGGCUAAGAGGGGGAGCUGCUGAGAUGUUGGCCUCAAGGUCAGGAGUGGGUGCUUGUGUCACAAGCUCCUGUGGCUCUGGGCCCAAAACGCUCAUAUGAGAAGGACAAAGCCUGAGGCUUUGAUUCCAGUUACAGGACAUGCCUCUGGAAGGCAUGAUGUGUGAAGUUGUAAUCAGGUAUUUGCAGCCUUGUGGGAAUGAGCCUGCCUGGUCAUUAAAUCCACACGGAGUGCCCCUUGGUGGAGGGAGGCGCCAGGCCAGGCUCUGCAGGUACAAACUCAAAGGGGUUUGGAAGAGGAGACAAAUCAGAUAUGUGCCCAACUAGCCACGAUGCAGGACCCAGGGAUGAGGGCCACAGGCCGAGGAGACGUCUGGGGCAAGCAGAGCCCCGAGCAAGGCUGGUCCGGGAAAGCUGGGGGUGCUUGCCCAGGCCUUGCCGCACCCGGAGGCUCACCUGGGUGGAGAAGGGCACGGGGCACUAGAAAAAGGAGUGAGACGCAGAGCACGCAGACCUUCCGGAGAGAAGAUGCUGAAAUACAAUGCGAUGAGCACAUCUGUGAGCGCUGCGUGGGUCAGAAGACCUGCAGGGCAGCCUGGGGAGCCAGCAAAGCCAGCUCCCCUCAUGGACUUUUCCUGUGUUUCUUUCUCACUUGGUUCAGAUUCCUCACCCCUAGAGAGACACAUGGCAAUGAGCUUCAGCGGCAGGGAACUUUGGCUUUCUGGAACCUCUCUGGGCUGGCUUCUCCGCCAGUUUCAGAGAUGGGAGCAGAGAGACGAUGGUGGGAGAGCAGCCAUGGUUAUUGAGGGGUCUUCCCAGCCCAUGAACAACCCUCCUGAGACAGUGGCAAUGGGACCCCAGAGACUCCACCUGUGGGGAAGGAGCCUCAGGGAUUUGGGCCCUUCGUUCAGUGAGCUCAGAACUGCGAUACUAGCAUUGGACACGCUGAGAGGGUAAGUGGCCAAGUGUGACUUAGAUAUUGUCUGAGCUGGGCCUAUGGCAUUUUGGUUGAAGGAAUGUCCAGGUAAUUGAACUGGCAUGGGCACCCCUUCUCUAUAGGCACUAUAGUUUAUGAAUUGCAAUGAUUCACCCUGUCUCAAGAUGACGGAAGUAUUUGAGAUGCAUGUGCAGGCAUUUGAAACAAACACAGUUGAUUUUGUGUAGGUUUCGGGGUCUGUUUGCUUCUGAAUCUCUGUGCAUGAAAAUAUAUAUUUCUGUUUCUCUGCUGGCAUUAGAGAACAGGCCUGGGUAUGGGAAACUGAAGCCCAGCAUGAUGAAGUGACUUGUUCAAGGUCCGACAGCUUGGCUAAGGUGGCAAAGGUGAGACCAGAACCCAGACUAUCUGAACCGUAGACCAGGACUCUUCAUGUGACGUUGAAAUCAAUUACAAAU
rnacentral:lncRNA from 1 species